GCGGAAAUAGCUCAGUGGUAGAGCACCACCUUGCCAAGGUGGGGGUCGCGGGUCCGAAUCCCGUUUUCCGCUCCA
rnacentral:tRNA from 1 species